AUGGGUCACAUGCAUGCUCCUGGUGGCUGACGCUGACUUCCGAUGACGUGAAGGAGCAGAUUGACAAACUGGCCAAGGGCCUGACUCCCUCAUGAAUCAGAUAAGGAUGCUAAAUGCUAUCUGAUUCUGAUAGAGAGCCGGAUUCAUCAUUUGGCCCGAUAUUAUAACACCAAGUGAGUCCUCCCUCUUGAUUGGAAAUAUGAGUCAUCCACAGCCUCUGCCCUGGUCGCAUAA
rnacentral:lncRNA from 1 species